rnacentral:lncRNA from 1 species
GCCAGCCCAAUCCAUAUAGGGAACAAUUUUGUAAUUGCAGGUUGCAGUGAUUUGUUCUUCUGGCUUGGGGAGGAAGCGUACAGACAGCAGAGGGAGAAGAUGAUACACCGAAAAUGGAGUCUACUAACUGGUCCAGUGGCAAUCUUGGGCGGGAUCGUUGCAACGGUGGUCGUCGCCAACUUAAUCUUCGUUAAGGAUGUAAAGUUCUCUUCUCUUUUCCUUCGAUUUCCAAACCCUAGAUUUUAUAUUUGAGUUUUGGUAUCGGGGGAAUCGAAGGAUGUAUUUUCAUUUAAGAUUUCGAUUGAAAUUAUUCAUUGGAAUGAUUUGCAUUCGGUUUUAUUCGUCAUUCUUAUAUCUAAAUCGUAGGAGACAUCUAAACCUUUUGGCUAUUCGAUCGUGUCUCUGAUCGUAAUCGUAAAAAUUAGAUUUGUUUAACUUAGUUGUGAAUUAAGAAUAACACUUUUUGAAUGAUUGUGGGAGCUAUCAUUCUUUGUUAAAAUAAAGAGCGUCGCUCUCUGUUUAACUUCUGUUCAAAAAAUAUUAAAUGGAAAAACCUGUUCUGUCAUUCUUUAGAUGUUGUUAAUUAUUAGCUAGGUAGUUGAGUUUCUUUGCUGCAAUGAAAGCGCCAGUAGAGCCAGUAAGCAACGUGCACACCUGCUACACAUUUUUUACUUGAACUAAUUUCUUUAGCUGGAUUAUUUCAUAAACUGCUAGUUAUUCAAACCAAAGCUUUUUAUGCAGGGCGUAACCAUACACAUGCUAACACAUUGCGAUAUAUUUGAAAUUUGCAGGACCCAUUUCUUAAACCAAAGAAAAAGAACCAAGAUUCACCACCAUCAACCAAAUAGAACAGAAGCAAAGUGAAUUGCUUAAUGGAUGUGUUGUAAGCUUUUCAGGUGGUUUGUGUUUGUUGAUUAUUUUUCUAGCGAAACAAAUGUUUAAGCUGCAUUUUGGUACAAGGCUCUUCUUAGUUCAAUAAAGUGGAGUUCAUGAUCAAGUUUAGUAAUUUCUCUUCAUUAUGUUCACCAAAUUGCUGUUGUUAAAUCUUGAUUGAGCUACCAUGAGAGCAAGAAAAAGCAAAAUUCAGCUGUUUUUCCUUGUUCAGUAAUGAUAAUUUUUGGGGUAGAUUGCCGAGUAGGAAUACUAUGAAUUUCUGCGUCGUGUUAGCGUAUAUCCACUUUUAAUUCAUCAAGAAUGGUUAUUAAUAAUUGAUAUGGUAAAUUUUAUUCUCUUAAAAAGAAAAAUCUUAGUAUCUUCUGGGUAUAUGAUUCACUGGUAAACGUUAUUAUUAUUAUUAUGAUUGCCUUUCAAUCCUGAGAAAGACUCCAACCCCCCUUUUCAUAGGCUGGAUGUAGCUAUUUCCACUACUCCAUGAUAAGCUUGCGUUUGAAUUAACCUUCACUGCGACAGGUGAUGAGUUGUGACUACGGUUAGGUGUGAAAAAAUAUCUUUCAUUUGACCAUCAAUGCAUGUGAUUUACAUAAAGUUAACACGUAAUUUUUCUGUAUGUUUCAGGGGAAAAUAAUCUAAGGAGUAAUUUUUCCUGAAGAAAAAGGGAAAGAGGUAAAAAUAUGAUGUAUAAACAAUGGUACAAUGAAAUAAUAUGCCCCAAAGAAUCACAAUCUCUCCCUUCACAUAUGCGAACUGCCUGGUGAG